CCAGUGUUUUUCUUGGUGAGGCAUCGCCGAUCGUGGAGAAACUCCUGCCCGAGAGGGUUCUGCCCGCAGCCGCACAGCAGCCGGAGUGCAGCCACCGCAGCCUCGCUCCAGUUACUGUGCAUAGGCGGCAUCCUUCCUUGGAAACAGAAACCACCAGCUGCCUCCUGGUAUCAGCUCAGAAUCAUUGGCUCACCACCGCUGGGAACGAGGAGUGUCCAUUCCCUUCUCACUGCCACUUGAGUCCUGGUAUGCCUGAGGCUUCUUCCUUCAACAUCAAGAUGGACUUUGAAAAAAAUUGUUGACACUGGUCUGAUGAUCAUCAGACUCUCAUCAUCAGUUUGGGUUCUUUCACAUUUAUUACGUAAAAUAUCCCAACGUUUUUGCCCAGACAACUUGCUGCAGUGAAAUCAGUCUUGUCUGC